rnacentral:sRNA from 12 species
GUAUAAUUGUGCAAUAAUCGGCAACUCAGUGAAGAGGGUUUAGUCAGCCUUGCUGAGAACGGUUUGAAUGCAGAGUUUUAUUUAUAUGGGAUACUGUAUAAUUAAGACUUCUUAUUGAGAGUGAUUGAUAUAAGAUAGAGACAGAUGUCUCAAAUGCAAGAAUCGGUUGCCGGUCUAUAUGAGUAAAAUGUCAGUUCGAAGAGUCGGAGCGACAAUUGAUGAGGUUCACAGCAAUGGGGACCAAUGCGGCUUUUAAGUGCUAUAUGGGGACAUAUAGAUUACUGAAAGUAAUUCCAAAACAAGCUCUUGCCAAUGAAUCGGAGAAAUCCGAGUAUAAGACAAAACAGAACUGGACGAGUACCACAAGGCGAUUUUACAAAUCAAGAAUAAUUGGUAAUUCUAAUGCUGAAUGACUGAAUGACGUGGGAAAGUUGGGAGUAUCAAUCUCCUCAGAGCAUUGGGCGAAAGCCGGGGUGCACAGGUUAGGACGACGGUCCGAAGCUUCAGGUGUGUCUCCUUUGUGACAGAAUAUUACGUAGUAUAGAGUUGGGUAGGGCGAAGGUCCGCCGAUUAUUGUUUUUUUUU